CCUGCCCCCUCCCCCGGGAUAGCCGCCCGAAAGGACGGGUAAUACCGGAUACCCCCGGGCGCCGCAUGGCGCCCGGGCUAAAGCCCCGACGGGAGGGGAUGGCUCCGCGGCCCAUCAGGUAGACGGCGGGGUGACGGCCCACCGUGCCGACAACGGGUAGCCGGGUUGAGAGACCGACCGGCCAGAUUGGGACUGAGACACGGCCCAGACUCCUACGGGAGGCAGCAGUGGGGAAUCUUGCGCAAUGGGGGGAACCCUGACGCAGCGACGCCGCGCGCGGGACGGAGGCCUUCGGGUCGUAAACCGCUUUCAGCAGGGAAGAGUCAAGACUGUACCUGCAGAAGAAGCCCCGGCUAACUACGUGCCAGCAGCCGCGGUAAUACGUAGGGGGCGAGCGUUAUCCGGAUUCAUUGGGCGUAAAGCGCGCGUAGGCGGCCCGGCAGGCCGGGGGUCGAAGCGGGGGGCUCAACCCCCCGAAGCCCCCGGAACCUCCGCGGCUUGGGUCCGGUAGGGGAGGGUGGAACACCCGGUGUAGCGGUGGAAUGCGCAGAUAUCGGGUGGAACACCGGCGGCGAAGGCGGCCCUCUGGGCCGAGACCGACGCUGAGGCGCGAAAGCUGGGGGAGCGAACAGGAUUAGAUACCCUGGUAGUCCCAGCCGUAAACGAUGGACGCUAGGUGUGGGGGGACGAUCCCCCCGUGCCGCAG
rnacentral:rRNA from 1 species